rnacentral:rRNA from 1 species
CGCGUAGGCGGUUUUAUAAGUUUGAUGUGAAAGCCCUGGGCUUAACCUAGGAAUAGCAUUGGAUACUGUAAGACUAGAGUCCGAGAGGGGGAAAUGGAAUUGCGAGUGUAGAGGUGAAAUUCGUAGAUAUUCGCAAGAACACCAGUGGCGAAGGCGAUUUCCUGGCUCGGUACUGACGCUAAGGCGCGAAAGCGUGGGGAGCAAACA